AAGAAAAGUUAGCUUAUAUAUACUUAGUUUUAAGCAAGGGCACAGAUACCCUACAUAAAGAAAAAAGAGAGAAGAAAAAUGGCCACACUAUGAAAAGACAAGAAGAAAAAUGGCCACACUAUGAAAAGACAAGAAGAAAAAUGGUCACAAUAUGAAAAGACAAGAAGGUCACAUUAGUUUGAGCAGUCGAAAAAGGAGCGGGGAGAAAAGACGAAGCGAAAUAAAACGCAACCAACGCCUAAGUACCUAUGAAGAUAA